GUGCCAGCAGCCGCGGUAAUACGUAGGUGGCAAGCGUUAUCCGGAAUUAUUGGGCGUAAAGCGCGCGUAGGCGGUUUUUUAAGUCUGACGUGAAAGCCCACGGCUCAACCGUGGAGGGUCAUUGGAAACUGGAAAACUUGAGUGCAGAAGAGGAAAGUGGAAUUCCAUGUGUAGCGGUGAAAUGCGCAGAGAUAUGGAGGAACACCAGUGGCGAAGGCGACUUUCUGGUCUGUAACUGACGCUGAUGUGCGAAAGCGUGGGGAUCAAACAGGAUUAGAUAC
rnacentral:rRNA from 1 species